rnacentral:rRNA from 1 species
UACGGAGGGUGCAAGCGUUAUCCGGAUUUACUGGGUUUAAAGGGUGCGCAGGCGGAUAUGUAAGUCAGUGGUGAAAUCUCUAGGCUUAACCUGGAAAUUGCCGUUGAUACUAUAUAUCUUGAAUGCUGUGGAGGUAAGCGGAAUAUGUCAUGUAGCGGUGAAAUGCUUAGAGAUGACAUAGAACACCUAUUGCGAAGGCAGCUUACUACGCAGAUAUUGACGCUCAUGCACGAAAGCGUGGGGAUCAAACAGG